GUACUGCUGAAGAGUCCCAAACUAGGACGAAACAGCAGCUUCCAGUAC
rnacentral:hammerhead_ribozyme from 1 species